ACAGCCACAAAUCAUGAUGUGCAGUUGGCCUUAUGUGAUGUUUUUUGAGAGACAAGGGAAGCAGGGGGGAGAAGGAUUAGUAUUUGACCUGUGUUGUGGUGUCCUUCUUGUUCUUUGACAUCUUAAGGAUAUAAGUGGUGCUGGGCAGUGGCCCCUGGCAGAAGAAAGGAGGCUGGGAUUAUUUGAGGAAUUAUCUUUCUAUCUUUAUCCACCAAAAAGGAGCAGUUGUACAAGGUGCCUUCAAAGUCAUCCAUUUACCCAGUGUUAGGAGUUUGCUGCCUCUAAAGAAAGUGGAUGCCUUACGUGGGGGAGUCUUACCUGGAAAUUGUACUUUGAGCCAGACCAAAGUACAAGCAGAAUAAAGAUACAAGGAAGCAGCAGGAUGGCGCGUGCAGGGUUGAGAAAAAGUCAGUGACCAGGACAGCUGCAAUAGCCAUGAGGGCAGAACACAAGAGAGCUUGUCUGGGAGAUGAUGGAUGAAAAAAUCCCUGGGGGAGAUAUACAUGGG
rnacentral:lncRNA from 1 species